UUUAAAAGACAGUAGUUAAACUCAACUAUUAAGGA
rnacentral:tRNA from 1 species